AUUGAACGCUGGCGGCAUGCCUUACACAUGCAAGUCGAACGGCAGCGCGGGAGCAAUCCUGGCGGCGAGUGGCGAACGGGUGAGUAAUAUAUCGGAACGUGCCCAAGAGUGGGGGAUAGCCCGGCGAAAGCCGGAUUAAUACCGCAUACGCCCUAAGGGGGAAAGUGGGGGACCGCAAGGCCUCACACUCGUGGAGCGGCCGAUAUCUGAUUAGCUAGUUGGUGGGGUAAGGGCCUACCAAGGCGACGAUCAGUAGCUGGUCUGAGAGGACGACCAGCCACACUGGGACUGAGACACGGCCCAGACUCCUACGGGAGGCAGCAGUGGGGAAUUUUGGACAAUGGGGGCAACCCUGAUCCAGCAAUGCCGCGUGUGUGAAGAAGGCCUUCGGGUUGUAAAGCACUUUUGUCCGGAAAGAAAUCCCCUGGGAUAAUACCCCGGGGGGAUGACGGUACCGGAAGAAUAAGCACCGGCUAACUACGUGCCAGCCGCCGCAGUAAUAC
rnacentral:rRNA from 1 species